CCGCGCCUCCGGUCAGAACGCAAGUGUGGUCCGCGCACGUCCCACACAAGUGUUCCUUUAGGCCAAUCGUAAAGUGCUGAAAACCAAACUGUGUUAGUGACAUGGUUUUGUGCUCAUAUCGGAUUCCAUUAGUGUGUCAUUGAUAACGGAGUGUAUAGUGCACAGGCACUGCGCGUGCGGUGAUGCGCCGCGAGCGCCAGCGAUCGACACAUGCAUGCCGCCCGCGCACCCGGUGUGGUUGUGAUGUCAUGGUGGUGUGCGCUCGCGCUAGUCGCGCUGGCGGCGCCCGCCCGCCUCGCGCCGCGCGCGGGGAACGGUGAGCAAUUUUACAGUAAGCAUCCUUUGCACGGUCACAUGCCCG